rnacentral:rRNA from 1 species
GAUGAACGCUAGCGGCAGGCCUAACACAUGCAAGUCGAGGGGUAACUAGAGUGAUAGCAAUAUUACUUUGGCUAGACCGGCGCACGGGUGCGUAACACGUAUGCAACCUACCUUAUACUGGGGAAUAACUUCGAGAAAUCGGCGCUAAUACCCCAUAACACUGCGGAGAGGCAUCUCUUUGCAGUUAAAGCUCCGGCGGUAUAAGAUGGGCAUGCGUCCAAUUAGCUAGUUGGUGAGGUAACGGCUCACCAAGGCUACGAUUGGUAGGGGUUCUGAGAGGAUGAUACCCCACACUGGUACUGAGACACGGAACAGGCUCCUACGGGAGGCAGCAGUGAGGAAUAUUGCGCAAUGGACGAAAGUCUGACGCAGCCAUGCCGCGUGCAGGAUGACGGCCCUAUGGGUUGUAAACUGCUUUUGUACGGGAAUAAACCCUUCUACGUGUAGGAGGCUGAAGGUACCGUAAGAAUAAGCACCGGCUAACUCCGUGCCAGCAGCCGCAGUAA